rnacentral:lncRNA from 1 species
GGCCGUGACCCGAUGUUUGUCGCCCGCGGGCCCCCGCGCUGCUUCUGCGACCAAGCGUGCGGCGCGGCGCGGCGCGGGACUGCUGCGCAGACUAUACGCGGGUCUGCCCAGGUGCACCCGGGGAAAGUCCCUGCUUUGAUAACCACAGGCAGCUACGGGAAAGAGUGGGAAAAGUGAGAUAGUCCCAAGAAACAGGCAACAGCAGGGAAUCCAGUGAAGGUGACUGGACAAAAACUAUGGUAUGCCUGUACAAAGGAAUACUACUCAGCAAUAAAAUGGAGUGAGCUACUGAUGCAUGCCACACCAUGGACGGACCUCAAAACCAUGAUACUGAGUGAAGGCAGCCAGAUGCAAAAGGCCACACACUAUGAGGACUUUGAGGCCCAGAGAAUUGAAGCUUCUUGUUCAAGAUCACACAGCUAACAAGUAACAAAGCUAGGACUGUUACCCAGACCGAUUGGGAAAGGAAGGAGAGAUGAGUAGGGGAUUGGAGAAGAGAACCGCUGGAAAUGACAGGAGCUGAAGGCCCCAAAGUUGCUCUCCCAGAGGCCCUGCCCAAUUUGAGGCUUCUAUCCAAGUGUCACAACCUCUGAAGACUGACAGCAACUUGGGAAGGUCUCUUCGAUCAGAAAUUUGGGAGACAAGGAAGGGCUGUUUUGCUGCAAUUCACUUGAUGUCAAAGCAGGAAAGACCUCGGACAAAGCUUCAAGUCUAACCUUUUUUGUUCUCGGAGACAGAGUCUUGUGAUAUUGCCCAGGCUGGUCUUGAACUCCUGGCUUCAAGUAAUCCUCCCGCUUCAGUCUCCCAAAGUGCUGGGCUUACAGGCAGCCUGGAUUCCAGAGACUCUCAGAAAAGAGGGAAGAACGAAUCUGACCCAGGCGCUGGUCUGUACCUGAGAAGAGCCUUUGGGCUGGGCUGUGGGGAGGCCCGUGUUUGUCCUGGGCCGCGUCCCAGCUCAGGUCUGUCAUGGCCUUGCUGUGUGAGCAAGUCCUGCCCCUUACCCUCUCUCUGGGCCUCAGUCUUUCCACCUGUCAAAUGGAUGGCUUGGAGUUGCUGGUUCCUAAAAUCCUUUAAUGUUAGGCUUCUUGAAAAUCCCCAAGUCUGAGGGUAUCUUGGGAGCUGCUUUUCAGACCUCAAAAUGGAAACAGCGAUUUUUCCUCUAUUCCUGACCGAGCAGAGGUCAGCAGCGUCAGGGGCAUCUACUUCUAUCUGUGGACUGAGGUCACAUUCCCUGGGGGAGGCUGGGCCAUGGUGGGGCAGCAGUCCGCUGCCCUGUUUUCUCUGUAGGGUACAUCUUCUCCCAGCUCUGACAGCCAGAUUCUGAGGACAAAUAUUCCAGUUAUGGUUUCAGAUACUGAGUAUUUUCCAAAGUGAUUUACAUAUCUAAUCUGGAAGAGAGGGGCUACUCUUAUCCCCAUUUUACAGAUAAGGAAACAGGGGCACAGAGAGAUCGAUCAACUUGUCUGAGGUCAUUCGGCCAGUAAGCGGCAGCCAGGAUUUGGCCCCAGGAAGUCUGGUGCAAGAAUCUGUGCCCUUCACCGAGCAUUUCUCAACCUCGACCUAUUGGCGUUUUGGGUUGGCUCACUCAGGUAGGGGGCUGCCUUGUGCAUUCUGGGAUGUUCAGCAGCAUCUCUGGCCUCCACCCACUAGAUGCCCCCUGGGUAUGACAACCAAAAUGACCCAGACAU